UUAUAUUUUAAUCUUCACCCUCCCAUCCCUGAAAUAAACCUGACGGUGAACUCAAUAUCAGGUUAUCGUUGCUCUGGUUAAACGUGGUGUUAUGAAGUAAGAUCAAAUAUAAAUGGCGAGUAAGAUUUUCAAGUACUAUCAUGAUCAACUCUGGCUAUUUACAAAUGAAUCUUCGCUCAACGAAGUCAUCCGACUGUUCGACGAAUGGGCAGAACAAUAUGAUCAGGUAACACGGAGCGUUGAUCAUUAGACAGGGAACUGGUGGUA